CUUGGUGACAAUAGAGAAGUGGUCCCACUCCUUCCCAUCCCGAACAGGACAGUGAAACGCUUCAUCGCCGAUGAUAGUGCGGGGUAACUCGCGUGAAAGUAGGGCAUUGCCAGGC
rnacentral:rRNA from 1 species